rnacentral:rRNA from 1 species
GACGAACGCUGGCGGCGUGCUUAACACAUGCAAGUCGAACGGUAAGGCCCCUUCGGGGGUACACGAGUGGCGAACGGGUGAGUAACACGUGAGCAACCUGCCCUUGACACUGGAAUAACAGUUGGAAACAGCUGCUAAUGCCGGAUAUGACCUUCGGUGGCAUCACCUGGAGGUGGAAAGUGCUUAGCGGUCAAGGAUGGGCUCGCGGCCUAUCAGCUAGUUGGUGAGGUAACGGCUCACCAAGGCUUCGACGGGUAGCCGGCCUGAGAGGGCGACCGGCCACACUGGGACUGAGAUACGGCCCAGACUCCUACGGGAGGCAGCAGUGGGGAAUAUUGCACAAUGGGCGCAAGCCUGAUGCAGCGACGCCGCGUGGGGGAUGAAGGCCUUCGGGUUGUAAACUCCUUUCGCCAUUGACGAAGCCCUUUGGGGUGACGGUAGGUGGAGAAGAAGCACCGGCUAACUACGUGCCAGCCGCCGCAGUAACAC